GAGGUUCGGGGUUUUGGGUCGUGUCAAUGACCUCCGUCGGGCGUUAGGUCGUGAUCGAGCUCUCGUCAUUGGGCGAUGAAGACGACGAAAUGGUUAGCGAGGGGGAGGACAAGAAGAUACUCUUCGGAUCCAUUACGAACUCUUAAGUACUUUCCGUUGUGGAGGCUUUUACGAAGGAGGAGAAGGCAAGUGAGGACGAUGAAUGCUGCAUUCUCGCCUUUGACCCUAUUGAUUCCUUAACGCCGACCUCAAUCACAGUUUUAACUUGGAGAAUCACAAUAAAGUGGCAAGGUGUCAAACUUCAAAAUAAGAUCGAGCCAAUAGUGAUGAUGAAGACUUAUGAGUGGAUGCUACAAAGUUGUAACUUUGACCGGCGACUUGAGCUAGGAUAUUGAAGAGUGCUAUUGCUACGUAUGGGACGAGGUUGCACCCUGCAUAUUUUGGAAGGCAAACUCUUCUGGUCAUUUCCACGCGUCUGACAAAGAGGAGAACUGGAAGAAUUUAAGGCUUUUAACAAGAAUUAGCCAUCAAAACAGGGAGCAGAAUUCUUCAUUCCCUGCUAACUGCUCAAAGUAGUGUACUCUGACGCGGAUCUGAUGGGAGGUACGACUUCUUGCAGUUGGCUAAUUUUUAUGUGUUUUAUUUUGCCAUUGAAGAUCAGUUACGUGCUAUGAAGAAUUAUGCCAAGUAUUAGAAAAAUUAUUAGGCGUGUAACCUCUUUUGAUUAUAUCCACACAUAUUUUUAAGGGAGAGGUUUUUCAUCUUUUUAAAUUUGUCGACAAGAAAGGAAAGUGCUACUUUUAGAUUCUUCCUGGCAAUAUUGAAAUCCAUAUACAAUUAUUUAAAAAAUGGCGCUUAAAGAUUUGGGCAGUUCGAUAUUAAGUUGUUGUGCCAGCCUUUGAUUUUUAUAAAUUUUUAUUUAUAUAAUUCUAACAAAAUAAUUAAUCCUAGCUCAUUUGCAUUAUUAUAUUGGAUUUUUGUAGAAAGUGGGAAGACUAUUUUUGUCUGAACUUUGCUUUCACUCUUCUCCUGCUUAAUUUUAGAAAAUAUUCCACAAAAUUCUCAUUUUAUAUGUAUUUUUUCUAUGGUUUUGUCAGCUAAUAAGAACAAUGAUAUGAAACAAUUUCUAUUUAUACAUAAGAUGAAUCUCUUACAUUUGACCACAUUAAACCAUAAUAAAACUUCUUAUCCCUAAUUGUCUUGCUAAGGCUCUAAUACUAAUAAUAUGAUGGCAUCUGUCCACCAAAGCUCUCAGUACUAUUAAAAUUUAACAGUUCUACAUAUCCUUUAUAGAAAUAAAAGUGCAAUGCAAUUUUCAAAAUUCAAAAUGGCAAUGUGUAAAACGAUAAAUUUUCAUUUAACAUUCAAAUGUCAUUUAAUAUCAUAACUGUUUUCCUCUUUUUUUUUUACUCAUCCAAUUGUCAUCCAAAUUUCAAAUUUUAAUAAUCAAACUUUAAUUCUGUUUUUCCCCUAAUUUCAUCAUUUCUUUUUAUUAUUUGAUCAAUGAACAUCUGUUGGGAGUGCCAAACAUCGCAGGAGAAAAUCUAAAAAAAAAAAAAGUUUUUAGUUUCUAUUUUCUGUUGUUGGCCCCGGUUCUUAUUAUGUUCUUUUGGUUGUGGGGUUGUUUCUUUUGGUUGUUUUGCUAUUUCUGUUGUGGGGCUCUGUGUGUUUGUUUGAUUUGGGUAAGCUGUGGGGUUUUGCUUGCUCGGUUGGGGGUCUUUGUGUUGACAGCAGGCGGUGGGGUUUUGGUUGCUUUUGGAUGGUGUUUGGGAUUAGGAAUGGUUGGGGUGUUUGGGUUGGAGGUGAGCUGAUUGUGUUGCUUUCUGUGGGUGAUCCGGUUGGCUUUG